rnacentral:rRNA from 1 species
CUACCGUGGCAAUGACGGGUAACGGGGAAUUAGGGUUCGAUUCCGGAGAGGGAGCCUGAGAAACGGCUACCACAUCUAAGGAAGGCAGCAGGCGCGCAAAUUACCCAAUCCUAAUACAGGGAGGUAGUGACAAGAAAUAACAAUACAGGACUUUUUGGUUUUGUAAUUGGAAUGAGUUAAGUAUAAACCCCUUUACAAGUAUCAAUUGGAGGGCAAGUCUGGUGCCAGCAGCCGCGGUAAUUCCAGCUCCAAUAGCGUAUAUUAAAGUUGUUGCAGUUAAAAAGCUCGUAGUUGGAUUUCUGUUAAUAAUUUAUAUAAAAUAUUUUGAUGAAUAUUUAUAUAAUAUUAACAUAAUUCAUAUUACUAUAUAUUUUAGUAUAUGAAAUUUUACUUUGAGAAAAUUAGAGUGCUUAAAGCAGGCAUAUGCCUUGAAUACUCCAGCAUGGAAUAAUAUUAAAGAUUUUUAUCUUUCUUAUUGGUUCUAAGAUAAGAAUAAUGAUUAAUAGGGACAGUUGGGGGCAUUUGUAUUUAACAGUCAGAGGUGAAAUUCUUAGAUUUGUUAAAGACAAACUAAUGCGAAAGCAUUUGCCAAGGAUGUUUUCAUUAAUCAAGAACGAAAGUUAGGGGAUCGAAGACGAUCAGAUAC